rnacentral:snoRNA from 1 species
AAGACUAUACUUUCAGGGAUCAUUUCUAUAGUUUGUUACUAGAGAAGUUUCUCUGAUCGUGAAGUUAAUCAAAACAAAAGAACUUUUUGAUGACAAUUAGAUUGC